rnacentral:rRNA from 1 species
CCUACGGGUGGCAGCAGUGGGGGAUAUUGCACAAUGGGCGCAAGCCUGACGCAGCAAUGCCGCGUGGAGGAAGAAGGCUUUCGGGUUGUAAACUUCUAUGACAGGGGAAGAGCAGAAGACGGUACCCUGAAAACAAGCCACGGCUAACUACGUGCCAGCAGCCGCGGUAAUACGGAGGAUGCGAGCGUUAUCCGGAUUUAUGGGGUUUAAAGGGUGCGUAGGCGGAAUGUCAAGUCAGCGGGAAAAAUUCGGGGCUAAACCCCGUCGUGACGUUGAAACUGAUGGUCUUGAGUGGGCGAGAGGUAGGCGGAAUGCGUGGUGUAGCGGUGAAAUGCAUAGAUAUCACGCAGAACUCCGGUGGCGAAGGCAGCAUACCGGCGCCCAACUGACGCUGAAGCACGAAAGCGUGGGUAUCGAACAGGAUUAGAUACCCCAGUAGUC